GAACGACGGAACUGCGAACGGCUCAAUUAAUCAGUUGCGAUCUACUCGGCGUCCGCGCCGCGAUACGUAGUAAUUCGUAGGCUAAUACGUGCGAAGCGCCGAAGCCGCGAGGCGACGGCGUUCUCGCCGGAUGUAGGAACCGACCCGGGGACCGCCGGGGCAACCCGGCGCCCCCGAGACGGGGCGAACCACGGUGAAAUGACGGAUCGUCGGCCCCGCGCCGGCGACUCGCCGAAUGAGUUUCUGACCUAUCAACUCGAGACGGCGGGGUAGAGGCCCGCCGCGGUAACGACGGGUAACGGGGAAUCAGGGUUCGAUUCCGGAGAGGGAGCCCGAGAAACGGCUACCACUUCCAAGGAAGGCAGCAGGCGCGCAACUUACCCUAAUCUCGAUUCGAGGAGGUAGUGACAAGAAAUACCGAUGCGGGACCCUACGGGUGCCGCGUUCGGAAUGAGUACGAUUCGAACCACCUAACGAGGAACGAUCGGAGGGC
rnacentral:rRNA from 1 species